rnacentral:ncRNA from 1 species
UAUUUCUUUGCAAAAUUGUGCUCAGGACCGAUGAGUAACGCGCAUAAGAACAUGCCCUUGGGAGGGAAACAAUAGCUGGAAACGGCUGCUAAUACCUCCGUAGUCUUAGGAGCAAAAGGAGGAAUCCACCUGAGGAGGGGCUUGGGUCUGAUUAGAUAGUUGGUGAGGCAAUAGCUUACUAAAGUGAAGAUUGUAGCUAGUCCGAGAGGAUCGGAUGAUCAGCCACACUGGGACCGAGAUACGACCCAGACUCCAAUGGAAAGCAGCAAAGGGGAAUUUUCACCCAUUCAUGAUUGACUAAUUGAGAGA